UACGUAGGGUGCAAGCGUUGUCCGGAAUUAUUGGGCGUAAAGAGCUCGUAGGCGGUUUGUCGCGUCGGCUGUGAAAACCUGGGGCUCAACCCCGGGCCUGCAGCCGAUACGGGCAAACUAGAAUUCGGUAGGGGAGACUGGAAUUCCUGGUGUAGCGGUGAAAUGACGCAGAUAUCGGGAGGAACACCUGUGGCGAAGGCGGGUCUCUGGGCCGAUACUGACGCUGAGGAGCGAAAGCGUGGGGAGCGAACAGG
rnacentral:rRNA from 1 species